GCCUACGGCCAUCCCACCCUGGUAACGCCCGAUCUCGUCUGAUCUCGGAAGCUAAGCAGGGGUCGGGCCUGGUUAGUACUUGGAUGGGAGACCUCCUGGGAAUACCGGGUGCUGUAGGCU
ensembl:rRNA 5S_rRNA 5S ribosomal RNA